rnacentral:rRNA from 1 species
CAGCAGCCGCGGGAAUACGUAGGGUGCGAGCGUUAAUCGGAAUUACUGGGCGUAAAGCGUGCGCAGGCGGUUAUAUAAGACAGAUGUGAAAUCCCCGGGCUCAACCUGGGACCUGCAUUUGUGACUGUAUAGCUAGAGUACGGUAGAGGGGGAUGGAAUUCCGCGUGUAGCAGUGAAAUGCGUAGAUAUGCGGAGGAACACCGAUGGCGAAGGCAAUCCCCUGGACCUGUACUGACGCUCAUGCACGAAAGCGUGGGGAGCAAACAGGAUUAGAUACCCCGGUAGUCCCUGUCUCUUAUAC